GCCCGAGAAUUCUGGAAGCUGUGAACAUCAUGAAGACUGCGAAAGCGUAGUGCUCGGAUACGGAAGAAUCGAUGAAGGUUGGAAGGCAUCUCAACAGAUAGCUGGAAGACGGGAGGUGGAAAGUUGGGCGGCCUAGAGGGUCGAGUGCUCGCCGUGCUCGCCCAUACCGGCCCAGCUUCCGCCCCUGCGGAUUUUUUUCACGGCGAUGCUGAGGAGGACGCAGCCAGUAGUAGUGAGGAGUCCGCUGAAGUGCCCCCUGCCCCACCAGCAGCUGCGCGCGUCUCGGUGGGCACGGAGCCGGGGACCAGUGGCACUGCACCUCGGCAGCAGCCCCGCAGGCCACCCCGACUUCAGGUCCUCACGGACGCCGCAUCAAGGACCGCCGCGGACUAUGCCCGGCAGAGCCGGUUAGCUGAGGCGGCAAACGCGGAGGCCGCAAGCUUCCACCAGCAGUUGCUGCAGCAACAUCGGCAGCUGGUGGAAGAGCAGCGAGCGACGCGGCAAGUCCUCGAGCAGCUGGUGGCCGAGAUGCGUGGUUCGCGAGAGGCGAACACCCUCAUUGCGACCACGCUGCGCCAGCUGCUGGCUGCCCUGGCCGACCUGCGCGCGCCGCCUCAGCAUUAAGGGGCAGCUUUUUUUUUUUUGCCAUAUCAUCCUUUAGUGCUUUGUUAGGUACAAGUGUCACCUAUCUAUGCAUGUUUUUUUUUUUAUGCAGCACUAAAGGAUGAUAUGGCUGUUUUCCGUAAUUUCUGUCCCUAAUCAUAUUUUUUUUCCAAGGUAAUUUCUGUCAUGUUUAUUUUAAUAUCUAGUGCAAGUUUCGCGUUUCUGUUCAUUACCGUGUUUUUUUAGUGUGUCAUUUAGUCAUUUUGUGUAAUUAUCUAUGUUCUAUCUAUCUAUCUAUGUGUAAUUAUCUGUCAUGUUUAUUUUAAUAUCUAGUGCAAGUUUCGCGUUUCUGUUCAUUACCGUGUUUUUUUAGUGUGUCAUUUAGUCAUUUUGUGUUUUUAUCUAUGUCCAAGUGAGACGGUAUAAGGUAUAUUUACAAUUUUUGUCAUAUUUUUGCCUUUCUGUUUUUUACCGUAUUUUUUUCUCCAAGUUCAUUCCAUGUGUAUUAUUCUUUGUCCAAGUGAGACGGUAUAACUUAUAUGUACAUUUUUUGCCGUAUUUUCGUUAGGUGUUGUUCACUUUUGUUUUGCUGUUACUUAUAUGUUUCAAUGUGCGCCGUUCUUCCACGGAAGAUACACUGUGCAAUCACUUU